rnacentral:sRNA from 1 species
AUUCUGCCCAUGCGGGGAAGGAUGAGAAGCUUCGACCAAGGUUCGACUCGAGCGCCAGCGAGAGAGCGUUGCCGCAGGCAACGACCCGAAGGGCGAAGCGCGCAGCGCUGAGUAAUCCUUCCCCCACC